rnacentral:rRNA from 1 species
UACGUAGGGGCCUAGCGUUGUCCGGAAUUAUUGGGCGUAAAGAGCUCGUAGGCGGCUUGUCGCGUCGGAUGUGAAAGCCCGGGGCUUAACUCCGGGUCUGCAUUCGAUACGGGCAGGCUAGAGUUCGGUAGGGGAGAUCGGAAUUCCUGGUGUAGCGGUGAAAUGCGCAGAUAUCAGGAGGAACACCGGUGGCGAAGGCGGAUCUCUGGGCCGAUACUGACGCUGAGGAGCGAAAGCGUGGGGAGCGAACAGG